rnacentral:lncRNA from 1 species
AGAGUUCAAAGGUGUCAACAUUGUGAGGUACAGGGCUUGCCCAUAGGCUGCUCUAGGACCUGGGUCAGAGAGCACUUAGCCAGGGCACUUAGAGAGCCACACCAGCCUAUCCAGUGAGCCGCAGGUGGAGGGGGUCCCAGCCACUUUUGGUUUUUGAGCUUUUCAGUAUAUUAAAAAAGAAAGCCAGAGACAGACAAAACAGGAUGACAAGCAUUGAGAUGCACAUUUAACUGAUAGUGCUUCAGUGAAAAUACAGGGUAGAACACUUGUGCUGUUCACAAAAUAUUGAAAACCUUAUUUCCAAGUGCACCCCAAGUUACAGGUCCCUGGCGAGCAGCAGCUUCUUUCAGUCCCACCUAGAAAGUCUAGGUGACUCUAGUCAUCCAGAAUGUCCUCAACCAGAGCACGUCCGGUCCACCAGGGCCCUUGGUGGCUGGGGGCUCCAUUCCCACAUGGGUAAGGGAGGCUGCUCUGCACGGGGAGGCUCAGGGGCCCAGGGGUCUGGGCAGGGGCUGCGCACCACUCUCACUCCCUAACUACCCGGGUGCACUGUGAGCAAGGUCUCCUUCUCCCCCUUUCCUCUUCCUCCGUCGCUAAGCUCCCACUCCACCCCCACCAUUUAUUUCUUUUCUCUCUCUCUCUGUUUCUUCUCCCCGGGCCUCUCUCUCUGUGUCUGUCUCUCUCUGCUCUCUUUCUUUCUCUGUCUCUUUACUCUCGCUGUGUCUGUCUGUCUUCUGUUUCUUUCUUUCUGUUUCUGUUUCUCUCCCAGCCCUUUCUCCCUCUCUUUCAUCCCAGGCGCCAAAGCAGAGCCGUCAUGGGCCCUAUACCCAAGCCUCUGGAUGGGAAAAGCUGUUUGGGAAAUCUUGGGCUGGGGAAAGAGCAGCAGGUCGCUGGCGGCCUGGGUACUUCCUUCUCUCCAGGCAACCCUCUCCCAGCUGGAGGGCCCGGCCUUUCCUGCCCGCGGAGUCGCUGCCGCGUGUGGUUUCUGACCUCGCUGCGUCCAGGGCGGUGUUGUCUUGUGUCUCGGCAGGACCCACACAGCUGGAGUGAGGCAGCCAUGCCGCAGGCAGAUGGUGGCUUGUGGUUGACAGAGCCUUGCCCACUCUCAGCACCAGGACGCAUGGAGUAA